rnacentral:rRNA from 1 species
UACGUAGGCAGCAAGCGUUGUUCGGAGUUACUGGGCGUAAAGGGUGCGUAGGUGGCUCUAUAAGUAUGGUGUGAAAUCUCCCGGCUUAACUGGGAGGGUGCGCCGUAGACUGUGGGGCUAGAGUGUGGGAGAGGAAAGUGGAAUUCCUGGUGUAGCGGUGAAAUGCGUAGAUAUCAGGAGGAACACCGGUGGUGUAAACGGCUUUCUGGACCGAUAAACUGACACUGGAGGCAACGAAAGCGUGGGUAGCAAACAGG